AUGGCACAGGGACACCCCAUGGCACAGGGACACCCCACGGCCCAGGGACGUGCCAGCCCUGCGGGGACACCGUGGGGACACCCGGGGGCACCCCCCUCUGCUUUCCCCACACCUGGGGCUUGUUGGGGGAGCAGCUCCUGCGUGCAGGGACGAGGCUGUGUGUCCGCAGGCUGCGAGCUGGACACGGGCACGCGGCGCUGCGUGCUGCAGGAGGACGACGACUGCCUGGAGCACCUGGUCCUGCUGAGGACGGUAAGGCGCGCGGCACGGCUUGGGGCCCGCUCGGCCGCGCCGGGCUCCGCGUGCCACGGGGCUCUGCCGGGCUCCGCAGGUCUCCCUGGGGGCUGGCGCCAGGGACGAGCUGCACGUGGUGGCCGUGGAGUCGAAGAACACGUACGGAGGCUGCAAGCCGGUGCCCAUCGCGUCGCUGCGCGGCUCGGUGCUCCCCAUGGUAAGGGCAGGGCAGCGAGGGGCGGGGGGGGAAGCCUCGCCUGGGAACCACCCGGCCUCGGCGUGGGGGCUGCACAGGGGUCUCCAGGCAGUGCUGGGGGCUUUUUUUUUUUUGGCUGUGCCUGCAAACCCCUCUGCUCUGCCCGAACGAGAUGGGGCAGAGGAGCCCCCGUCCUGCGGCUGUUGCAGGGUUCGCCCUGUGCUGGGGAUGGGGUGAGGCUGGGGAUGGGCUGGGGGUGCUCCGAGCUCUGUUUUUUUUGCAGAUCAGCCUCAAAGGCCUGGAGUUUGUCCCUCCGGUCACCUUCGUGCUGGAGUGUGGAGCUGGGCCGGUCUAUCUCAGCGGGCAGCACGUCACCCUGGAGGAUGACCGCAGGUACAGAGCCCGCGAGGAAGAGCUGGCAGAGGAAGAUGCAGGCGAUGAGGACGGUGCCAGAGCAGCGCAGGACGGGGAGUAGCCACAGUUUGGGGAGGAUUUCUGCGUCCUGGGAGUGCCGCCGGCUGAUGGCAGGGCUGUUCCCUGUCAGGGGCUGCAGGUGCCUGGCACUGAUGGGGCCAGGUCCUUGCCCGGGGUUACAAACUGCCUCUGCUUUGCAUACCGCCCUUUCCUCCUCUCCCUGCCCGCUCUGUUCAUAA
rnacentral:lncRNA from 1 species